UAGGAUCGCCAGAGAGGAACACUGAGGU
rnacentral:piRNA from 1 species